rnacentral:rRNA from 1 species
GACGAACUGCCCAAACGUUGUUCGGAAUCACUGGGCUUAAAGGGCGCGUAGGCGGGCGGACAAGUCAGGGGUGAAAUCCGGCAGCUCAACUGUCGAAGUGCCUUUGAUACUGUCUGUCUUGAGGGAGGUAGGGGUUUGUGGAACUUCUGGUGGAGCGGUGAAAUGCGUUGAUAUCAGAAGGAACGCCGGUGGCGAAAGCGACGAACUGGACCUCUUCUGACGCUGAGGCGCGAAAGCUAGGGGAGCAAACGGG